GUCGAGAAUAAUUCACAAUGGGGGCAACCCUGAUGGUGCAACGCCGCGUGGAGGAUGAAGGUCUUCGGAUUGUAAACUCCUGUCAUCCGGGAGCAAGACCUGGCCGUGAAUAGCGGACAGGGUUGAUAGUACCGGAAGAGGAAGGGACGGCUAACUUCGUGCCAGCAGCCGCGGUAAUACGAAGGUCCCGAGCGUUGUCCGGAAUCACUGGGCGUAAAGGGAGCGUAGGCGGCGCGGUAAGUCAGAUGUGAAAUCCUAGGGCUCAACCCUGGAACUGCAUCCGAUACUGCUGUGCUUGAGCAAUGGAGAGGUAGCCGGAAUUCUCGGUGUAGCAGUGAAAUGCGUAGAUAUCGAGAGGAACACUCGUGGCGAAAGCGGGCUACUGGACAUUUGCUGACGCUGAGGCUCGAAGGCCGGGGGAGCGAAAGGGAUUAGAUACCCCUGUAGUCC
rnacentral:rRNA from 1 species